AACGAACGCUGGCGGCGUGGAUUAGGCAUGCAAGUCGUACGAUCCUUAUCUAUAUAGCAAUAUACGGGUAAGGAGAGUGGCGGACGGGUGAGGAACGCGUGGGCAAGCUACCCUGAAGUUCGGAAUAGCCCCGGGAAACCGGGGGUAAUACCGAAUGUGACCGUCCCCCGCAUGGGGGAUCACUUAAAGGUGGGGAUCCGCAAGGACCUGUCGCUUCAGGAUGUGCCCGCGUCCCAUCAGCUAGUUGGUGAGGUAACGGCCCACCAAGGCUAAGACGGGUAGCUGGUCUGAGAGGAUGGUCAGCCACACUGGGACUGAGACACUGCCCAGACUCCUACGGGAGGCUGCAGUCGAGAAUCAUUGUCAAUGCGCGAAAGCGUGAACAUGCGACGCCGCGUGGAGGAUGAAGGCCUUCGGGUUGUAAACUCCUGUCAUGAGGGAAAAGCGGUCAGGGCGCUAAUACCGCCCGGGCUCGAUGGUACCUCAGGAGGAAGCCACGGCUAACUCUGUGCCAGCAGCCGCGGUAAUACAGAGGUGGCGAGCGUUGUUCGGAUUUACUGGGCGUAAAGGGUGCGUAGGUGGCCUUGCAUGUCGGAUGUGAAAGCUCACGGCUUACCCGUGGAAAUGCAUCCGAAACUGCAGAGCUAGAGUACAGGAGAGGAGAGUGGAAUUUUCGGU
rnacentral:rRNA from 1 species